rnacentral:lncRNA from 1 species
AGCAGACAGUGCGUAAAUAGUCCAUAGUAAGUCCCUUUUCUAAGUCUUUGGAUUCUUUCCUCUACAUUAUUCUGAGGAACUACUGGCAUUUUAACAUAUUUUAUCCUGGGCCAUAACUGAUUCCAGGUUUCAGCUCUUCAACUAUGCAAACAAUUAUACCAUGCCAAGUUGCUCUAGCUAGCACAUUGCAUCUCUGACCUAAAUUUGUGUAUCUACAGAUUUGGCUCAUGUGAAAAUUAUAUUCUACCCUCCUUGGUCCGGUUCCUCAAAAGCUAUACCUGGACACAUUUCUACAUUUUGCUUAUAUAUGUUAACAAUAUCUUUCAUAUCUCUUUCUGGAUUUGACUCGUAAUUGGCCUUCUGACACCAAUCUCAGAGGCUUUCCAGGUCCCAUAGGAAGAGCAGCUUUCUUCAGUUUUCUGCAUAUGUUCUGGUUUUGAGCUUUGUUGGCUCUGGUUAGUCACAAUGUAAAAAUCCUGUUUAUUUUCUGUUUUCCAGAAAUUUCUCAAAUAUUUGGUACACUCCUGACUUCUCCCUAUUCUCAGAGCUGUUAAUGAAGUUAGUCUCCUUUGUAAGUCUUUCAGUCAUCUCGGCAGGUUGGGUAGGGAGGUGAACUUACACUCAGUUUGCCAUUUUUUACCUGGAAGUCUCUAUUCAGUUUUCAGUCUAAUACUCUACUAGUGAAAGUCACCUAUGCACCACAGGUUGCCAAAUCUAACCAGUCUAUUCUGGGCCUAUUUUACUUGAUCUUUCUGGAAUUUGAUAUUGUUGAUCAUUCUUUUCUAGAAAAUCUCUCAUUUUUUGGCUUCAAAUAUUUGAUACUUUCCUGGUCU